CGGCGGCCGUAACUAUAACGGUCCUAAGGUAGCGAAAUUCCUUGUCGGGUAAGUUCCGACCUGCACGAAUGGCGUAAUGAUGGCCAGGCUGUCUCCACCCGAGACUCAGUGAAAUUGAACUCGCUGUGAAGAUGCAGUGUACCCGCGGCAAGACGGAAAGACCCCGUGAACCUUUACUAUAGCUUGACACUGAACAUUGAGCCUUGAUGUGUAGGAUAGGUGGGAGGCUUUGAAGCGUGGACGCCAGUCUGCGUGGAGCCAACCUUGAAAUACCACCCUUUAAUGUUUGAUGUUCUAACGUAGGCCCCUAAUCCGGGUUGCGGACAGUGUCUGGUGGGUAGUUUGACUGGGGCGGUCUCCUCCCAAAGAGUAACGGAGGAGCACGAAGGUUGGCUAAUCCUGGUCGGACAUCAGGAGGUUAGUGCAAUGGCAUAAGCCAGCUUGACUGCGAGAGUGACGGCUCGAGCAGGUGCGAAAGCAGGUCAUAGUGAUCCGGUGGUUCUGAAUGGAAGGGCCAUCGCUCAACGGAUAAAAGGUACUCCGGGGAUAACAGGCUGAUACCGCCCAAGAGUUCAUAUCGACGGCGGUGUUUGGCACCUCGAUGUCGGCUCAUCACAUCCUGGGGCUGAAGUAGGUCCCAAGGGUAUGGCUGUUCGCCAUUUAAAGUGGUACGCGAGCUGGGUUUAGAACGUCGUGAGACAGUUCGGUCCCUAUCUGCCGUGGGCGCUGGAGAAUUGAGGGGGGCUGCUCCUAGUACGAGAGGACCGGAGUGGACGCAUCACUGGUGUUCGGGUUGUCAUGCCAAUGGCACUGCCCGGUAGCUAAAUGCGGAAAAGAUAAGUGCUGAAAGCAUCUAAGCACGAAACUUGCCCCGAGAUGAGUUCUCCCUGACUCCUUGAGAGUCCUGAAGGAACGUUGAAGACGACGACGUUGAUAGGUCGGGUGUGUAAGCGUAGCGAUACGUUGAGCUAACCGAUACUAAUGAACCGUGAGGCUUAACCUUACAACGCCGAAGCUGUU
rnacentral:rRNA from 1 species